UACGGGGGGGGCUAGCGUUGUUCGGAAUUACUGGGCGUAAAGGGCGCGUAGGCGGUCUGCUAAGUUGGAUGUGAAAACUCUGGGCUUAACCCAGAGCCUGCAUUCAAUACUGACAGGCUAGAGUUCUGGAGGGGAUAGCGGAAUUCCGGGUGUAGCGGUGGAAGUGCGUAGAGAUCCGGAAGAACACCGGUGGCGAAGGGCGGGU
rnacentral:rRNA from 1 species